UACGUAGGGUGCGAGCGUUGUCCGGAUUUAUUGGGCGUAAAGAGCUUGUAGGCGGCUCGUCACGUCGGGUGUGAAAACUCGCGGCUCAACCACGGGCCUGCACCCGAUACGGGCGGGCUAGAGUUCGGCAGGGGAGACUGGAAUUCCUGGUGUAGCGGUGGAAUGCGCAGAUAUCAGGAGGAACACCGGUGGCGAAGGCGGGUCUCUGGGCCGAUACUGACGCUGAGAAGCGAAAGCGUGGGGAGCGAACAGG
rnacentral:rRNA from 1 species